ensembl:lncRNA
UUUACCUUUUAUAAUGGUAGAUAUCAAAUCAAUCUGGUAUUUAGAUUCCAUUGGUUAUAUUUUAAAAAGUGAUGUAACAGUUUUGUUUUCAAAUGUCAACAUUUACAAUAUGCCAAAAAUUACAUCCCUUGGGACUAUUUAAAUUUGAUGAAAAAUUUUAGAUGAAAAUUUACAAGUACAGUUAUGCAUGGCUUCAGGAUGGAGACAUUCUGAGAAAUGCGUUGUUGGGCAAUUUCAUCAUUGUGCCAACAUCUUAGAGUGUACUUACACAAACCUAGAUGGCAUAGCCUACCACACAUCUAAGCUAUAUGGUACUAAUCUUGUGGGACUACACGGCCCUUCAUUGACCAAAAGGUCAUAAUUAUACAGGGCAUGAUUGUAUGGAAAAGGAAGCAUAGAUUUCAAAAUAUUUUCCAAUGGAAUAUGAACAAAAAUGGUUGAAAUCCUUAAGUGAUAUCUGAGCAUAUACAGUUCUUUCCAUUCAGGAUUUUAUCAGUGUAAUUCCAUCAAAAAUGCUAACUUCCAGGGAAAGCUGUUGCACAACCUUUAUUCCCAAUGUAUUUAAUACUUGUCAGCAAAUUAUUUCCAGUAUCUAAUGAAUCAUGUCAGAAUUUAAAUCAAAUUCUUCUUCUAUCUCUAGUAAAGGUAUAUAACUACUAUCAAAAUGUUUCUAUUAAAUAACCCAAAAUACACAGACAAAAUUCAUUCCUUGCACUUGCUUUUUCAACCCUUUAAUUCAUUUAUCUAGUUAAAUCAAACUCUUCAAGCAUCACUAAGAAAUCUAUGUAGCAAAAUUGAAAUUCCAUUACUUUCUACUUGACACAGUGUAUAGGAUUUUGAGCUCUUGUAAUGCCAGAUAAAGCUUAAAUGAGGUUUUAAAACCACAUACAUUUUGUAGGUGAAAUCCUGAGCCUCUUUGAACUGGAGCUUACUAUCCUCUCUACCCACAUAAAAGUAUAUUUAAUUCACAAAGAUAAACAGUGGAUUUAGUUAUUAAAAUGGUUUAUAAACUCCAUGUUAACAGUCAAUUUACAGAAGAAAGGAAAGGUUUCAGGGAAUACAGAAUGAGCUAUUUGAACACAAAGCAGUGGUGACCUUCUAGCACACUAGCAAAGCGAAGUUAGGCAUCUUAAUUGGCAGAGAUCAAACAACUGAAAAACCAAAGAACUGAUAUAUCAGAAACAUGAGACAAGUUAAACAACUGCUGAAAAUAAUAUCCUAGUGAACCUAAGCGUCAAAAUAAUAAUGCUAAGAAACAUUUUUAAACACAGUAUGUUUUAGUAUAUAAAGAGAUUCAAAAUAUAUAAAGAGAUUCAAAGAUUCUGGAAUAGUUUAGCCUGGCAGCAUAAUAACACCCUGAGUAAACCCCCACCCCUCACUAUAAGAGUUUACCCUCCAAAGAAGCCUUCAAUAUAUGAACUGAUUUAUCAACAUGUAAGAUGACAAAGUUCCACAUGGCUUGGAUUUCCAAAGGUGAUCAACAACCAUGCCAAAACCAUUUUUAUUAACUUCUGUAAUUACCUGAUAUUCUAUCAUCAAAGACUCCCUUAUACAAAGAAGAAUAAUAUUCUAUUAAAAUAAAAUAAAUUAUUGGUAAAAGCAAACUGUUGGUAAAGAAUAAUUAGCAUAUUUUGCUAUUAAAACAUAUUUAAAUUAAGCUCAAGUCUUAUCUACCAUCUAGUGUUCUAGUUAUUAUUGCUGCAUAACAACUCAAAAACUUGGUGGCUUAAAACAGCAAUAGUUUAUUUCAUUAUUAUUUCUCACGGUUCUGAUGAUUGACUGGGCUCGGCUAGGAAUCCAGAUGAUGUAAAACUUGUCAUCUUACGUGAUGCAAAGUCACGUCAUAUAUUUCAUGAUCCUUCUUUCCAAAGCAAGUGGUUUGGCCUUCUGAGAAAGGGGAGGCAUUUAGUCAAUUAAAGUCCUAUAAUACUCGCAGACUGAACUAUCCCAUAAAAUGCAAAGUAAAUUUUAAUUUUGAAUCCCUUUCUAAGACUUCUCAAAAGUCUCAUCAACCAGAACUUGAGGUCCAAAAUCUUGCCAUCUAAGUCCAAUCCAAGUUGAAAUGAGGCUCUUGGGUUUGUUGGGAACAACUUCUCUGAUAAGAUAUUGAUCACCUUGAAGGCCUAUGAAUUUACAAAGACAGGUUGUCUGUCCUACAUAAACCCAAUACACAAGUACCAAGGCUUUAUAGCAAUAAACACUGCUUUUCAAAAAGGAGGAACCAGAAUGCAUGGAACAGUCACUGGUGUGCAGUAAUUCUGAACGCUAGCUAGGCACACGGUGCUAGGUUUUUGUGUAGAGCCCAGUAUUCCUCCCUGGGAGUGAUUCCCCACAGGUCUUGGAUCUAUUUCCUGAGCUCUUGAUUCAACCCUCUGAGUCAUCCAUCCUUUCUCCAUGAAAAUACAAAGACUGUAACUUAGUCUUAGCUUGCUCUCUGUCGAAAAAUGUUGGGGGUCCAAAGACUUAUUUUAAAUAUACAUUCUCUCUUUCUCUUCUUGUCCAAGUUAACAAUGCUUCCAAGAGAAACAAUAUCAUAACAACUUUGUGAGUUUUCUAUAAAUCUUACUGGAGUUCACACCUUUAGACAAAAUGUACGAUUAUAAAUAAUUACCACGUAGGUCCUUCUUUACCUUGAGCCUCCAGUGAAAGUGCUAUAGCACGACACCCUUGAGAUUCUUAGAAGCCCUGCUGCUAAUGAAGAGGAUUUGCAAAACAUGCCCUUCAGAGUCUUGGAAGGUCUUUUAUCUUUCUAAAGGUUUCAACGAGGCUCCAUUUUAUAUUUCUUAGAGUUCUUCACAAAGAAUCUUGUAGUCUUACCUUAGAUGCAAUCUUGGCAGGGAGGCCUUUUUGUGUUUUUUGUUGGAGAAUUUUUGCCAUCU